UAGCUCAGUUGGUAGAGUAUGGUGUUUGCAAUGCCAGGGUUGUGGGUUUGAUUCCCAU
rnacentral:tRNA from 1 species